rnacentral:rRNA from 1 species
ACGGAAGGCAGCAGUGGGGAAUAUUGGGCAAUGGGGGAAACCCUGACCCAGCAACGCCGCGUGAAGGAAGAAGGCCUUCGGGUUGUAAACUUCUUUUACCAGGGACGAUAAUGACGGUACCUGGAGAAAAAGCAACGGCUAACUACGUGCCGGCAGCCGCGGUAAUACGUAGGUUGCAAGCGUUGUCCGGAUUUACUGGGUGUAAAGGGCGUGUAGGCGGAGCUGCAAGUCAGAUGUGAAAUCCCGGGGUUCAACCCCGGAACUGCAUUUGAAACUGUAGCCCUUGAGUAUCGGAGAGGCAAGCGGAAUUCCUAGUGUAGCGGUGAAAUGCGUAGAUAUUAGGAGGAACACCAGUGGCGAAGGCGGCUUGCUGGACGACAACUGACGCUGAGGCGCGAAAGCGUGGGGAGCAAACAGGAUUAGAUACCCUGGUA